GACGAGCACUGCCCUACUCUCGGAACAAUUUCCAGUUUGCUGCACUCUGAUAUAUCUAGAUUUCGAAGAAAGGAAAAUCCUUCCAAAUCUGGAAUGGAACUUAAAUUAGCACAGCCACUUAGCUUUAAUUCUUUAAGACAACUGGAGGUCGACAACCCGUCUCCUAUCUUGCUUAAGUUUUGACACGAGGAAAUGUGAAGCUUUUCAAGAGAUGAACAUCUUCCUCUUAUUGGAACAAUUUCCAGUUUGCUGCACUCUGAUAUAUCUAGAUUUCGAAGAAAGGAAAAUCCUUCCAAAUCUGGAAUAGAACUUAAAUUAGGACAAUCACUUAACUUCAAUUCUUCAAGAUUAGUGGAGGUCGACAACCCAUCUCCAAUCUUGCUUAGUUUUCGACACGAGGAAAUGUGAAGCUUUUGAAGAGAUGAACAUCUUCCUCUUAUUGGAACAAUUUCCAGUUUGCUGCACUCUGAUAUAUCUAGAUUUCGAAGAAAGGAAAAUCCUUCCA
rnacentral:lncRNA from 1 species